AUCGUAUUAUGGUUCCGUCUAAUCUAAUUUUUCGUGACCGUUGAUUAAAUCUGUGAUAACUUUCCUGUAACUUCUAUAAUACUAUGAUAAUUCUGAACGGACAUUUUAGACUCCAACUCAUCGAAUCAGUAUCAAACCAAAAUCAAAAGCUGAUAGAAAAGGAAAAGGGGGCCAAAUCAGAACAGAAACGAGUCGUGUUCUUCCCACGAGCGACAGCCGCCGCCGCCGACGCCGCCGCCGCCCCGCAGCCUCCGCCGCCACCCCUUGCCCCGACGCGUGGACUGACGGCCUCGGCCUCUCGGUCGCACCCCGCUCUCCUCCGUCGCAUCCGCGAGGCGCCACCGCGAGCCGCCGCCCCUCCCCCCGUCGCGGGACUCACAGCCCGGCCUCUUUGUUUAAUUGGAGAUUUCAUUAAUUGAUUUACAAUUUCUUUGGUGUAUCCAGAUGCGGAUAAUUGAUCGCAAUUGCGAAAUUCCUCAUGAAGGACCUUUCUGUGAUCUGAUGUGGAGUGACCCGGAAGAGAUACGGACAUGGGGUGUUAGUCCCCGUGGAGCAGGUUGGCUUUUUGGCUCACGGGUGACAACAGAGUUCAACCAUGUUAACAAUCUUGAGUUAGUUUGCCGGGCUCAUCAACUAGUCCAGGAAGGCCUAAAAUACAUGUUCGAAGACAAGGGUCUUGUAACUGCGAGCUCUCAGUUUUCAUAUCUCAGACUUGUUCUUGAACUUGUAACAAGUUCCGGGUGCUCAUUUUAAUUUAUUUUCCGGGUGUGGUCUGCACCUAAUUAUUGUUACAGAUGUGGCAACGUUGCUUCUAUACUGAGCUUCGGCGAAAAUAUGGAAAGAGAGGUCAAGUUCUUCACGGAGACCGACGAGAACAACCAAAUGCGAGGGCCUAGGACCUCAGUCCCAUAUUUUCUUUGACCUCUUUUGUACAUUGUGUUUUGUGGUUUCUAUUUUUCGGGGGCUAAAGAUCAAUCCAAUAGGUGUGUUCAUUGUUGUAGCUUCAGCUCAUAGUGCAGUGUGAUUAUCUGAUGCAGUUGAUGUUACUGGUUAAUUUAACCCGUUGUAAGAUACUCCCUCCGGUCUCUUUUAAUUGACUCGGAUUUAGUACAACUUUGUACUAAAUUCGAGUCAAUUAAAAAGGACCGGAGGGAGUAGAUUAUUGCGUGUGUAGCUGCCAUUGCCACAUGUUCUUUUUUCCCUUCAUCACCUAUCUGCCCCAAAGUUAAGUUCAAUCUGCUGGAAGCCUGGAACGUGUCAACACAUGGAGGAAGAGGAAGGGGAACCGAAAGAAUACUAGAAGCUGUCAACUAGCAUUGCCUUGUGCAGAUCAAAGUCUCCAAGGCAGGGCCAUUGUAUGAUUGUAUCUUUCUCAUCAUUCAACUCAGGAACCUUAAUUUAAACCAUUUUAAAGCUAACUCUGUUGAUGUAGUUAAAUUUUGCGAUGAAUGUCGAACAUUCUGAGUUCUUUGAUGCUGUUCUGUACUUCUG